rnacentral:lncRNA from 10 species
AGAAUUUGAAAUAUCACCCAACCUCUGGUCAUUUUAUCAAUUUUUCCUUUGAUAUCUCCCUGCCUGAACUCAACAAUGCCUUCUAAAACCCAGAAGUGGUUAUCAGUAAACAAUAGCAAGCUUCAGAAGCAGCCCUUUAGUUCUGUCUCAAAGAGCAGGAAAGAGCUCCUAAUUAUCAGAAAGAGUGCAGAAAUUUCCUUUUUUUCUCCCUUUUCCUCCUGCUCUCUCACCCCUCAGCCCUCAAGCAAUCUCAUGGCAGCUGCUGUAGAAACUGCAGUGAGAGUUCACAGGGGCCAAAACUCUGAGAGUGGAGAGCCUUCCCCUCUGGGCACAGAAACGCUCUUCAGACCAUACUCCUACUGCCAGGGGAUGGAGAAGGCAUGGUGUCAGCAAUUCAAGACUGUUUUUCCUACCUCUUCAGUGUCUCUUUCGGCAAAAUGAAGUGAAAAUCAGGAACAAGAUGUCUCCAGAGUUAAAUACAUGAAUUAAAUGCAAUUUCAAUGGAUGUCCCAAUGUUUUAAAUUGAAUAACAUGACUUUAAAGAAGAUAUGGGAAACUUCAACUCCCAGAAAAAUGAAGUAGAUACAUACUUCUCUAUUCCUUCCACUAAGUACAACUGAAAACCGUGACACUAUAUAUAAAACAAACAUAAGAAGACUCUGAAAGGCAAGAAUGGGUUUUCUUUUGCCUCCUUUAUUCCAGACUUGUAACUGAAGAAGCCAUCAACCAAGAAAUUUCCAACAGACCCAGAUGGAAAAAGUCCCAGUGAAAGCCUGUUCUUUAGCCAAAGGGGCCAGAAAAGAGCAAGAUAGCAGGACAAGUGUCAUUGAGGAGAAUUUGCCUAGGAGAUGCAAAGAGAGAGAAGCCUAUACUUUGAGGGUGGAAGCCCCUCCAACAGAUCUCUGCCAUCAUGUGAGAGAGAGCCUGAGUUAGCCUGCUGGAUGGUCAAAGAUGAGUGGUGCAGCUAAGUGAAAGCCUGCUGACUUGUAGACAUAUGAGUAAGGCCAUGCUUGAUCACCUGGCUGCCAGCUGGCCUGCCAACUAAUUGCAGGUACUUGAAAGAGUCCAGCAGAGAUCAGCCACCCCAGGUCAAAUAAACACCCAGCCCCCUCCCUGAGAAUGAUGAACUAAAUAAAUGUCUUAAGUACUAAGUUUUGGGUGUUUGCUACAUAGCAAAAGCUAAUUGAUACUGUUCCCAAGGAGUGGAAAACUUCUGUAACAAAAAACAAAAAAUUCUGGCAUUGGUUUUGGGAUUGGGCAAUGGGUAGAGGCUAGAAAAAUGGCAAGGAAGCUGCCAUAGCAACCUAGAAAAAUGGCAACCCAUGCUAUAAAAUAGGGCAAUUGGUCAAUAAUUUUUGAAGUGGUUUGUUAUGCAGCAAUAGCCUACUGAUACACCAUGUGAAUUAUAGCAAGGAAUAGCUAAGGCAAAACAAAACAUUGGAUGAGUAGCAUAGUUCAUUCUAAAGAACCACUAAGGCUUGCUCAGGAAUAUGUACUAAUUCAGGUGGCAUCUGUUAACUAUCACUGAGCAUAAUAUUGGAGGAUAAAUCUGCUUUGCUUAUUGCCACCCCCGUAGCUUAGAAGCUACUCCUAAAACAGCAAGGAUGUCACUGUGGCAGUGGGCAAGGAUUAAUUCCCUCAUUUAUUUAUUCAUUUAUUAAUUCAACAAA